ensembl:lncRNA SNHG29 small nucleolar RNA host gene 29
GGCCACAUCUGCCAGAGCCUGGAGUCUGCGAAGGCCGGGACCCGGUUCCCCGGCCCACAGUGGGGGUGUGCAAACCCGAGAGAACUGGGUUGCAAAUUCGUGAAGAAUCAGCAUCAUGUUUGGCAGCUGAGUAUUGGAGCCAGGAGCCUGCCAUGAGCCGAUGCAGCCUCAGUGUUCCUUUGCCUUGGGGGUUUCUGAGUGGUGGGGUUGUAAGCAGAUCCUGCCAGGCACCCAGAAGGAAACCUCAUCAGGACUCCCUCAGAAAGCAGGCCCUGAAGAAUCCUGUGACCUUCAUCUAAAGUAGGUCAUGAGACCCCUGAGCUUAAAACGGAGUGAUCGGCUUUGGAGAAGUAAGGAGACAUGACGUGCCUGCCCUGGGGUGGGGACUAAACUUCGUGCCACUCCACGUGAAAGGGGGAGAAAUCCCUGGAAGGCACGCAGGCUGGACAUCAUCAUAUAUUCUCUACAGAUGGAGACACCAAGGCCCACGCCUUCUGUGCUGUUGGAAUUUCAGGAAGGAUGGGGGUGGGGCACGGCCUCAGCCCUGGGCAUGUUCUGCAGAUUGCACUGCUCUUAUCUGCCAGGGGGUGGUGAGAGGGUGGCUGAGCUGGACAGAUGGCGGGCAGGGACGGGCUCUGCGGUCUGGCAGCUGACAUUGAUACAAGCAAAAAAAGAGUCUUUGCUGGGG